AACGUAGGUGGCGAGCGUUAUCCGGAUUUACUGGGCGUAAAGCGUGUGCAGGCGGGGAAACAAGGGGGGUGUGAAAUUUCCCGGCUUAACCGGGAAGGGUGAUGCCAGACUGGUUUUCUGGAGUGCGAGAGAGGGGCGUGGAAUUCCGGGUGUAGUGGUGAAAUGCGUAGAGAUCCGGAGGAACCCCAGAGGCGAAGGCGGCGCCCUGGCUCGCAACUGACGCUCAGACACGACAGCAUGGGGAGCGAACGGG
rnacentral:rRNA from 1 species